CCCCAAAUCAGCAAAGAAUCAAAUUGAGAAUAGAAAUAAGUGUUAGGGUUCUUGAAACCCUCAAGGAGAUUGUGAUUCUGCCCAAUUGAACACCAAGAUAGUUUUCCCCAAAUUUCGACAAUCUAAUUUCACCCAAAAAGAGUAUGGAAAAACCCUAGAAAUUGGGGAUUUGUGGGCUGAUUCCUUAAGAUAGAAAAAGGCUGAAAACACAAUAAGAACAGAAAAUAGAUUAGAUAAUGAUUCAGCACAAGUAGAAAUAAAGAAAGAAUUGACAGUAAGAAAUUAAAAGAUAAGUCCUAAGAAGCCUUGAAAUCUCGAAAGAUCUCACAACUCCCUUCAAACGGCUCUAAUCUCCCCUCCAAAGAAUAUCAAUGGCAAGAAGAAGGUUGAAGAUGGCUCCCACAAUCAAAAAGAUUGUUAAAACAACUUCUAAAGAAAACUCAAGAGAAAAUCCUUGAAGAACUCAAAGAGAAUUUUCACUCAAAUCAAAUCUGAAAUUUUCAAUGUAAUUGUAAUGUAAUGUAGGGUGGCUGGCCAAGCCAUAUAAAUAGGCCUUUCAAAUGUUUUCCUAAUUUAAUUAGAACACUAAAACUAAAACUAAAAAAACUCCUAAUUAUUUUAAUAUGGAAAUUCGGCCAAGGGUCUUUUAUUUGGGACUCUUGGACUGAAUAUAAAAAUUUAAACUAAAUAAAAUAAAUAAAUAAAUAAAUAAAAAUAAAACUUUACAACUUGGGCCACUUUGACAAUUUGGCCUGAUUUUCAACUAAGUAUGGGUGGAUUUCUUGAUUGGGCUUGGAAUCUUCUUAUUGGGCCUUGCCCUCAAGAAUUUGGGCUUUUGUGACUCGUAUCAUUCCCCCCUUCCUCAAAAAGAUUCGUCCUCGAAUCUGAAAAAUCAAAUGAACUCGACUUUCCUCUAUCGAACGGGACUAAUGGCAAUUGAGUCCACUGAAAAGAAUAGCCAUGAGAUAGUAAAUAGCAACGGAAACAAGCUUGUAGUCCAAUCAUAAGCAUAACAGAACAGGUAUAACGCAUGUGAAUGGACAGAUUCAGAUUACCAUGCAAACAAUCUAAUUUACUCACCACUGCCUCGUCAAAUAUUUGAAACAAAGAUGGACAUGUUUUAAGGCAUUCAGUCGUCUCACAUUGUUCCCACAAACCAUGAAUAAAUUGCGAGUAAUAAAUCAAAUGGUAAACAUAAUCGUCACAAGUAGGUAUUUGAAAAGAUUUACAUGGUUCACAGAGUUGCAUAAUCAUACCAUGCAUUAAUCGACGGUCUAUAGAUUCACUCACACAUGCAUUAUCAAAAACAAGAAUCUUUUUAUCAACCAUCAAAACAGAUAGAUCAUCAAUAAAUAAAAUAGGACAGUCAAGCAUGUUUCGAUCUAAGUGUUCAUCAACACGAUCUUUAUCACUAUCCGAGGAGUACAAAAGUGUUUCAAAGGUUUCAAGCAUCUUACCUCGAUAAGCAAAAGAAUAAGGGUCGAUUUUACCUUUUUCAUUUAAAACAAACCUUCGUUCAUCGGGGGCAUAGUGUAGUCGAAUCUCCGUUGUUGAGUUAACCUUUGUCAAAUGGAACUCAAACUUCAUGUACAACCACAUAAACUGUUUAAGGCAAGAAUAUAAAUUGAAAACAAAUUUGGAAAAUUUCGUUACCUUAUUCUCCAAAACAGAUUUGGACGAAUUCGAGGAUUUUACACAAGGUAAAUCAAGAGAAUAACAAAUCACGCUUCUUUUCGUAAUGACUUUAUCAACCACAAUCGAAGAGUAACAAUUAAUUGGAUCAAAAUGAGGGGAUCUUUUAAGAACUAAGUCACCAAAAGUUUUAUCAAUAAUUUUCAAAUCUGCACUGGACUCGGUUUCUAAAAUUUCCUUACCUCGCUUACCUUCGGGAUCAUGUAGUGUGAUUUCAUCUUUGCCUAAGUUGAUCGUAUGAAAGCGUCUUUCAUUUGAGAGGUAUUGAAGUUGAAAGUUAUCUUUCGAUCUUUCAGGAACCUGAAAAGUAGCAACACAAGAAAAAUUCAUAUCUUGGUUAGUGGAAACAUUCCUCACUAGCCUUUCCUCGUCUUUUUCUUUUGUUUCUUUUUCUAACUCAUUUUCUCUUCUUUCUUCAACUUCUUUUUCAAAUUUCUUUUCUGUUUCACAUUCCUUUUCACUCUCAAUCUCUUUUUGCUCUUUUUCAUUCUUUUUUUCUUUUUCCUCACUUGUUUUAACAGAAUUUCUCAGUUUGAUUUGUUCCUCAUGGACUUGUUCCGGAGUGAGCGGCACUAAGGUAAGUUUCUUUCCUUGAUGCUUGAAGGAAUACCUAUUGGUACGACCAUCGUGAGUGACUUUUCGAUCCAGUUGCCAUGGUUCUCCUAGCAAUAAAUGGCAGGCUUGAAUAGGUACUACGUCGCACACGACUUCGUCUUGAUAUUUACCGAUAGAAAAGGCGAUGCGCACUUGUUGAGUGACCUUAAAUUGGCUUUCGUUGCUAAGCCCUUGUAGUUGAUAAGGUCGUGGAUGCUUGGUAGUGGUUAAGCAAAGCUUUUCCACCAUCGUCGUGCUGGCUACGUUCGAGCAACUUUCACCAUCAAUAAUAACUCUACAAAGCUUACCUUGUACAUGGCAGCGAGUAUGAAAGAGAUGUUCUCGUUGCUGCUCGCUCUUUGGUUUUGCCAAAGAGGGUUGUCCACGAUCAUGAAGAUCAUAAUCAGUUCUAGGGACACGCCGAGGAGCGCGCCUAUGAGCAGGAGGCUGGUUAUCCACAUCGUCUUUAAUUUGAUCUCGAUAUUGAGGCUCUUGAUUCAACCGCACCUCAUUGAUAGUAGCAGUCAACGCUCGAAGUGCAACAGCCUGUUCGUCCAACUGUUGUUGGAAUUUUUUAAAUAUGUCACUAGUAUUAUCACCUGUAGACAUUUUUUUUUAAAACCUGCAAAACACUCAACACUCAAAAAUAAAAGUUAUCAAACCUCACCGUUAAUCACUCAAAAAGAAAAAAUCAAAUUCUCAAUGAGGUCGAAUUCAAUCUUGUGAGUUCUUUAUCAGAGUUUAUAUCAACCAAUUAGAGAGUGUGAACCAAACUACCAAAGAAUCCUAAUUUGCACUAGGAUGCCAAAAACUGACGAGACACCAAUUGAUUCGUGUUGCACCGAGGAAGAAGUUGUGCACACGUUUAAAUCCUACUAACACAAGAAACAAGAAGGUGUUAGAUAACGUAAAGGAAGAAUAAAGGGAAACAAAUGAAAACCUACAGCUAAGAAUCAAUAAAAAUUGCUGAAAACAGAAAACCCGAAAAACUGCGGAGUAACUUGACAACUUCGUUCGAGGUGUUCCCGAUCUCCAAAAAUUACGAAAUUAAAUUUGGAGUGUCCUUAUAUAUUGAAUUUUUUAUCUGGAAAUUUUGGGCACCAAAUUCAACCCGCUAAAUCUUUUUUAAAUUUUUAUUGAAUUUCGUAUUUUUUGAUUUUUUUGACUGAUUUUUUUGCGGGAAUAAUUUUUUUAUAUUCAAUCACAGUGCCAAAAACAUGUAUGUAAAAUUUCAGAUCAAUCGGACAACGUUUACCCACUCAAAUGAAUUUUUUUUGAACAAUUUUUCUGGGUAAAACUGCCGUUUAUGCUUUAAAAAAUAGAGAUCAGUUUAGAAAUCAACCAAGAACACCCAAAACGCCCAAAAUCUGAUACCAAAUGAUACGAGGUUGCGCGCGGACCAAGAUCGAGUUGCCAAGUCACGAGAAACUCCUACGAAAACCCUAAACAAUUAGAUCUGAAACGAAACAGAAAAUUAAAAGAUUAGAUUUUUGAAUUUUCAGAUCUGAAAUAAAAUCCCCAAAUCAGCAAAGAAUCAAAUUGAGAAUAGAAAUAAGUGUUAGGGUUCUUGAAACCCUCAAGGAGAUUGUGAUUCUGCCCAAUUGAACACCAAGAUAGUUUUCCCCAAAUUUCGACAAUCUAAUUUCACCCAAAAAGAGUAUGGAAAAACCCUAGAAAUUGGGGAUUUUUGGGCUGAUUCCUUAAGAUAGAAAAAGGCUGAAAACACAAUAAGAACAGAAAAUAGAUUAGAUAAUGAUUCAGCACAAGUAGAAAUAAAGAAAGAAUUGACAGUAAGAAAUUAAAAGAUAAGUCCUAAGAAGCCUUGAAAUCCCGAAAGAUCUCACAACUCCCUUCAAACGGCUCUAAUCUCCCCUCCAAAGAAUAUCAAUGGCAAGAAGAAGGUUGAAGAUGGCUCCCACAAUCAAAAAGAUUGUUAAAACAACUUCUAAAGAAAACUCAAGAGAAAAUCCUUGAAGAACUCAAA
rnacentral:lncRNA from 1 species